rnacentral:rRNA from 1 species
AGCAGCCGCGGUAAUUCCAGCUCCAAUAGCGUAUAUUAAAGUUGUUGCAGUUAAAAAGCUCGUAGUUGAAUUUCGGGAUUGACACAUCGGUCGUGCCUUAAGGGGUAUGAACUGGUGUAGUCAAUUUCUCACCUUCUGGAGAACCGCGAUGCCCUUAAUUGGGUGUCGCGGGGAACCAGGACCUUUACUUUGAAAAAAUUAGAGUGUUUAAAGCAGGCAUUUUGCUUGAAUACAUUAGCAUGGAAUGAUAAAAUAGGACGGCAUGAUUCUAUUUUGUUGGUUUCUAGGAUCACCGUAAUGAUUAAUAGGGAUAGUUGGGGGCAUUAGUAUUCAAUUGUCAGAGGUGAAAUUCUUGGAUUUAUUGAAGACUAACUACUGCGAAAGCAUUUGCCAAGGAUGUUUUCAUUAAUCAAGAACGAAAGUUAGGGGAUCGAAGACGAUCAGAUACCGUCGUAGUCUUAACCAUAAACUAUGCCGACUAGGAAUCAGACGAUGUUAAUUUUUAAUGACUCGUUUGGCG